GAUGAAGAACGUAGCGAAAUGCGAUAAGUAAUGUGAAUUGCAGAAUUCAGUGAAUCAUCGAAUCUUUGAACGCACAUUGCGCCCUCUGGUAUUCCGGAGGGCAUGCCUGUUCGAGCGUCAUUUGCUAAACUCAAGCCUACUUGUAGGCCUGGUCUUGGGUGUUGUCCUCUCCGGAGGACAUGCCUCAAAUGCAACGGCGACACUGCCUGGCUUCAAGCGUCUAGGAAACUUCAUCGCUUCUGUCAGAUAAAUGUCUGCCUCUCAACCCCAAUUUUUUUUCUGGGUUGACCUCGGAUCAGGUAGGGAUACCCGCUGAACUUAAGCAUAUCAAUAAGCGGAGGA
rnacentral:misc_RNA from 1 species